GGGAUUGUUCCCUUGUAUGAAGCACUGGUGAGACUGUUUCUCAAGCACUUUGUUCGGUUUUGGGCCCCUCACUACAAGGACAUUGGUUUUCUGGAAUGCAUUAAGAGAAGAAAGAACAAGGAAAUUGAGGAAGGAACUGGAGAACAAGAGUUAUAAGCAGCUGAGGGAACUGGGUUUGUUCAGUCUGGACUGAAAGGAAGUUGUAGCAAGGUGGGGCUUGGGCUCUCUUCUCAGAUGACCAGUGAAGAAGUUUCAAUGCAAAUAAAUAUGUUGUCAUCCAUGGCUUCAUCUCACUCAAGAUGGACUCAAGAACAGGAUAAACAGCUACAACCUUCACAGAACUUAGUCAUGAACUUAGUCCCCCUUUUCUGACUAUAAAUCAGAGAAAGAUUUUUCCAACUAUUCAUGGUCUGUUAAGGAAAGAAAAAAUAUGCAUUCAGCCUCUUCCCUGUCAUUUCUGGCCUCCCCCUUUUCAAGGAGUCAGCAAAAGAAGAGGUGGUACCAUACACAGUGCCCUGGACUGAUUAUUUAUUUAUGGCAAUUGUUCAUGUAUUAAGCAGCCAGAAUACUUAAACAGUAAAGGUUACCUCCUUCCACAAAAUGUUUAUAGUCUGAAUUAAAUGGAUCUGAAUUAAAUUGAUCGUAAAAGGAAAACUAAAUAUAUAAAUAAAUAGUAAGCUUACAUAAUUUCCUAGUAAAACUCUGCUUCACAGAGGCAUUUAAGCAUAUGCUCCCAGUGAAAUAAGUGCCUUCCACUAUUUACAGGUACAGAUCAAAGCUUUAACACACAUAUCAGAUUCCACACAUACACCUUUUAGGUCCAUCCAAGUAGCUCUCCUUUUAAUGCUUUCAUCAGUUGUAAGUUGAGGAAUUCUGAAGAGCAGUUUGAAUGAAUCAAAGAAGGAUGUUGGUUUACAUAAGCUCAGCAAUCUGCACUGGAGAAAAGCGAGGCAAGAAUGAAUAGAUGGAAAAAUUAUGACCCUGCAAACUUAUUUCACUAGAUGAUAAAAUGUUCUUCAACUCCAAUUUGUUUCCUGUUUGUGACUUUCUGACUCCAGCACAGACACUGAGUGAGUCACUUCAUUUCUACACUAAUUUCCCCCUCUGCUUUCUUGUUUAUUUAGUGUGUACUCCACCUCUCUUCUCAGGUUAAUUUCUUUGCUGAAUUGUCAAGCUGCUAAUUAAAAAUCAAGACAGUAUUUACGAACAAAUAGUGAGCAGUAACUAAGAAAAAUAUUCUGUAUUUAAAAUAUUAAAUACUCCGAAACAUAGUGAAAGGAAUGUUCCUGAAAAAAUUUUCUUCUUUUUCUUCCCUACAGAUAGAGGAAAAGAGAAGGUGCUCAGCCUGUUGAUUGGGCUACUGAAGUCACAUUUGUGUUGUAGUGUAAAAUUGAUCAGUAAUGCAGAGCUCUUUAAGAAGAAGAGCAUAACUAGGUAAAUCGUAGUACUCUAAUAUCUUAAGUACAAAGUUAGCAGUUCUUUGGUAUGUUCUCAAAGGCUUUCCUCAGACAAAUCAACUAUUCAAGCUGAAUUUGUCUGCUUGGAAUUAAGUUUAAUUUCACAAAGAUAAAAUGCCUUCGUGAUUUACAGGCAGAGGGGAUUCAGAUGAUUGCAUCUGGUGACUUCACAGUCAUUAUUAUAAACUUGCUGGACAGCUUCUGCCUGGAGAAGACAUAGAUCUCAUAUUCCACAGAAAAUGUUGUACUUUAGGCACAGUGGCAUGAGAUAGAGGUUGGAAAGUUUAUGCAGGAGAUGCUCUGCUCUUUUUUACUCAAUAAAUUAGCAGGGUUUGUGUUUGUUUGUUUCCAGAUGUAAUACAAAGUUCCCAAAUAGCUGAUAAAUAUUCUUAAGACAGAAAAGGCUGCCACAAGGAAAGGACUUCAAAAUACAUAGGAAAAAUCCCCAGAACCUUGAAGAUAGGAGUACCUAGAGAAAGCUCUCUAAUAUUGUGUCUGGACAGUUAGAAUUUGACCAAAGCUUCCAGGGAAGGUCUGUUGGCUUCCUGCACACAUCAGUUCAUCGUGCUUUUACUACAAUCACCACCUCUCUGCUGAUGUUCUGUUCAGACUACUUUCUGUUGCUUAGGUAGAUGCAGUAGGUCAAACAGUUUCUUCUUACUGACAGCACCUAACUUGGUGCUAGAGCUAGAGCAGAGAACUAUAAAGAAUAGAGCUGACCUAAUUAAUUCAUAAUUCAUCCAACUGGAUUUGACACACACAGAAGAAAAUUCCUGUCCAGGACAUCCAGGAUGGAACCGCUAUACCAAUCUCAUAAAGAGUUGCAAUUAAAUUGAUACAGAGGGAGACAGAUCAGCAGAGCCAGACUUGGAAGAGUUAAACCUCAGGAACAGCCAGGAACUCAGAAGAUUUACCGUAGGUGGAAUUUCAUUACGUGAAGAAACUCAUGGCUAGAAUAAGCUGCCAAAAGAAACAACAGAAGAUACAACUUUACUUUAAAGUCCUAGGAAAAUAUUUAAAAUAAAUAAAUAUUUGGUAGUACA
ensembl:lncRNA